CUCCUAGGGGAGGCAGCAGUAGGGAAUUUUCGGCAAUGGGGGAAACCCUGACCGAGCAACGCCGCGUGAAGGAAGAAGGUUUUCGGAUUGUAAACUUCUGUUAUAAAGGAAGAACGGCGGCUACAGGAAAUGGUAGCCGAGUGACGGUACUUUAUUAGAAAGCCACGGCUAACUACGUGCCAGCAGCCGCGGUAAUACGUAGGUGGCAAGCGUUAUCCGGAAUUAUUGGGCGUAAAGAGGGAGCAGGCGGCAGCAAGGGUCUGUGGUGAAAGCCUGAAGCUUAACUUCAGUAAGCCAUAGAAACCAGGCAGCUAGAGUGCAGGAGAGGAUCGUGGAAUUCCAUGUGUAGCGGUGAAAUGCGUAGAUAUAUGGAGGAACACCAGUGGCGAAGGCGACGAUCUGGCCUGCAACUGACGCUCAGUCCCGAAAGCGUGGGGAGCAAAUAGGAUUAGAUACCCUAGUAGUCCACGCCGUAAACGAUGAGUACUAAGUGUUGGAUGUCAAAGUUCAGUGCUGCAGUUAACGCAAUAAGUACUCCGCCUGAGUAGUACGUUCGCAAGAAUGAAACUCAAAGGAAUUGACGGGGGCCCGCACAAGCGGUGGAGCAUGUGGUUUAAUUCGAAGCAACGCGAAGAACCUUACCAGGUCUUGACAUACUCAUAAAGGCUCCAGAGAUGGAGAGAUAGCUAUAUGAGAUACAGGUGGUGCAUGGUUGUCGUCAGCUCGUGUCGUGAGAUGUUGGGUUAAGUCCCGCAACGAGCGCAACCCUUAUCGUUAGUUACCAUCAUUAAGUUGGGGACUCUAGCGAGACUGCCAGUGACAAGCUGGAGGAAGGCGGGGAUGACGUCAAAUCAUCAUGCCCCUUAUGACCUGGGCUACACACGUGCUACAAUGGAUGGUGCAGAGGGAAGCGAAGCCGCGAGGUGAAGCAAAACCCAUAAAACCAUUCUCAGUUCGGAUUGUAGUCUGCAACUCGACUACAUGAAGUUGGAAUCGCUAGUAAUCGCGAAUCAGCAUGUCGCGGUGAAUACGUUCUCGGGCCUUGUACACACCGC
rnacentral:rRNA from 1 species